AAGUCGUAACAAGGUAACCGUAGGUGAACCUGCGGUUGGAUCAUUAGUGAACUUGAGGGAUUUAUCUCUCGCUGUAGGGGGACUUCCCCUUACUUGACCCAUUGUGAAUUGUUAUAGUCACUGGUUCUUUUAAUUUUAUUAAUUGGGCCAGUCAAUGACUUCAAAGUCAAGAAACCUAGUCUUACUAAAGUUAUCAUUUAUAUUCAAAUGAAACAACUUUUGACAACGGAUCUCUUGGCUCUC
rnacentral:misc_RNA from 1 species